rnacentral:rRNA from 1 species
GACAGAGGGUGCAAACGUUGUUCGGAUUUACUGGGCGUAAAGAGCUCGUAGGUGGUUUGUCGCGUUGUCCGUGAAAACUCACAACUCAAUUGUGGGCGUGCGGGCGAUACGGGCAGACUGGAGUACUGCAGGGGAGACUGGAAUUCCUGGUGUAGCGGUGGAAUGCGCAGAUAUCAGGAGGAACACCGGUGGCGAAGGCGGGUCUCUGGGCAGUAACUGACGCUGAGGAGCGAAAGCGUGGGGAGCGAACAGG